AACUUUUGACGGUGGAUCUCUUGGCUCACGCAUCGAUGAAGAACGCAGCCAGCUGCGAUAAUAGGUAGUGUGAAUUGCAGAAUUCAGUGAAUCAUCGAAUCUUUGAACGCAAAUGGCGCUCUUGGAUUCUCCCAGGAGCAUGUCUGUCUGAGUGUUGGAUUGUCAUCCAUU
rnacentral:rRNA from 1 species